GUGUAAAUGCACGAAGGGUGGAAGCGGGGGAGAAGGCCGAGGCGCACAUUUUCGGGGACAACAACAUAAUAAGGCAAGUUGUUGUGGAGGCGGUUCAUAUCCUGAGCAGGAAGAGCGGCCCCACCAAGCUCCUUUCCCGGGAAUUACACUCAGCAUUUCAGCAUCAAGCUGCCAUGUCGCACUGUGUUGGGGGAAGGAUUUGAUGCUUUGGAGGGAACUGAAGAAGGCAAAUGUGGCUGUCACUCAGAGAGCAAGGGAGAAGGAGGCACGAAGAUCAGAGAAGCAGAGAGACAACCCUACAGAGGCUGGCAAACCACACUGAGGGUCUUGGUGUUUAUCCCAAGAGCAAUGGAAAUCCAGUGAAGGAUUUUGAGCAGGGUGAUUGUGUACUUUUUAUGAAGAUGAUUUUGUUCACUGGAAGACAACAAAAUUUCAGGUGUACAACACAACUUCCUCAUCUGGGGGAAGAAAAGCCUUGGAACUCAAUGACAGCCACAGAAAUGAAGCAGUAAGACACCAAGCAGGGGCCUGACCAUUUGUAAGUCUUGGCUUGAAAUGAAAUGUUGACUCCGGUUGGAACCCAAGACUGUUCUCAUCCUUGGAGAAUGACAGCUUCCCUGUACACAGAUUCCUCCUAUCUGAAGCUCAUUGCCUGGGUUGUCUUCACGUAUGGACCCAAAAAAGGCCCAUUUGGAUUGAGGAAAACAAAUACUAAUGAGCAUUAGUGGAAAUACUAGAUCAAAUACCUAAUACAUGCUUUCAUCUUAGGUUAAAAGAAAAGAUUUAAUGGUUAGGUUUGUCAAGAUACACAUAUUAUGCUUUUCUGACUUUCUUCACUCUGUUUUCACAGUUGAUAGUGUGCAUGUGCUUCCCGUGUUUUUUUUUUUCUAUUCUCAGCAGCAUGGUGGAGUUAGAUGUGAGUAAAAACACCUAGUGUUCAGUCCCAGGUCAGUAACUGUGGGUGUCAGUCUUUUUGUCUUCAGGUCUCCGUCGAGGAAAAGAGGCUUUCCGGGGUGGGAGCAGCCACGCACAGGUGCUCCCAGAUCCACUCUUCCUCAGGAGCCACACGGGGCAUGCGCAGGGAGGGUUCUUGGUGGCCACUCCCACUUCAACCACAGCACUCUUACUUGUGUCUGCUUAUUCUCUUCCGCUUAGCCGUAAACAUAAGGUUCACUAUAUAUACACACACACGAGAUUUUGCUGAGAAGAAAAAUUAACAAAACUUGAAACCCACUGUUAUCUGUUUUUGGUUCCCUUUUUGCUGCCUUCUUUGAAUUCACUGAGUAUUUUUUACGGCUUCAUUUUAUCUCUUUUAUUGGCUUGUUGGCCGUAUUCCUCUGUUAUGUUAUUUAAGUGGUUUCUUUAUGGGUAGUGUAGUACACAUAACUUAUCCUCACCUACCUUCAAGUGGUGUUAUCCCACUUCGCAUAGAGUAUGCAAACCUCCCCACAGUAUAUCUCCACUUCUCCCUUCCCAGCCUUCAGGCUUUGAUGCCAGACAUUUAAGGCCUCCAUAUAUUUGCACUCACAGUACACUGUGUGGUUGUUUUUGCCUUAAACAAUCAGUUAUCUUUUAAAGACACUUUUAAAAUGUGACAAAAAUUUCUUUAUACUUAAUAGUUUCCAUUUCUGGUGCUCUUCAUUUCUUUGUGUAGACAUUUAUUUCCAUAUACUAUCAUUUUCUUUCUUAUUGAACUACAUCUUUUAACAUUUGUGGUAGUGCAUGUCUGCUGAGAAUACAUUUUUGAACCUUUUUUUUGAGUUUGAAAAAGUCUAUUUGCCUUCAUUUUUUUGAAAGGUGUUUUCACUGCUGAAGUAUUCUAAGUUGACAAUUUUUUUUUCUUUCAGUAUUUUAAAGAUGACACCCCAGUAUCUUCUAGAUUGUGUUGUCUCUAACAAGAAAUCUGCUUUCCUAUAUAUUUUGUUUUUCGGCAUGCACUGUGUCUUUUGUCACUGGCUGUUUUUAAGAUUUUCUAAUUACCACUGGUUUUAAGUAAUUAGAUUAUAAUGUGCCCUACUGUAGUUUUAUUCGUGUGUCUUUUCAGUUUUUGGAUCUGUGGGUUGAUAGUUUUCAUCAAAUUUGGAAAAACUAUACCCAUGAUCACAAUAUUACUUCAGAUACUUUCUGCCCCUCCUCCUUCCCUUUGGGAAUUCCAAUUGCAGGUGUAGUAGACCUCUUGAAGGUGCCCCACAGCUCACUGAAGCUCUUUUUAUUUUUUUCAGAUUAAAAAAAAUUCUCACUCUGUGUCAUUGUGCACAGUUUUUUGUUUUGUUAUGUAUUCAAAUUCAUCAAUGUUUUCUUCUGCAAUGUGUAAGCUGCCAUCAGUUCUGUCUAGAACAUUUUUCAUCUUAGACGCUUCAAUUUCUAUCUCUAGAGCUUCAGCUGGAGUUUAUAUAUUCCAUGUCUCUAGUUAACAUGUUUAAUCUUUCCUAUAGCUUCUUGAACACAUAGAAUACAGUCAUAAUAACUGUUUUGAUAUCCUUAUUCACUAACUAUAUCAUCUGUAUAUAUCACUAUGUGAAUUGUGGGUCAAUUUUGAUCAAUUGUUUAGUCAUCAUGGGUCUCUUUUUCCUGCUUCACUUUUUGCCUUGUAAAUUUUGGUUGAAUGCUAGACAUGUGAUUUUUAUCUUGUUGGGUAUUUUUAUAUUCCUAUAAACAUCCUCAAAAAAUUUUUUUAAUGUUUAUUU